AUUGAACGCUGGCGGCAGGCCUAACACAUGCAAGUCGAGCGGAUGACGGGAGCUUGCUCCUUGAUUCAGCGGCGGACGGGUGAGUAAUGCCUAGGAAUCUGCCUGGGAGUGGGGGACAACGUUUCGAAAGGAACGCUAAUACCGCAUACGUCCUACGGGAGAAAGCAGGGGACCUGCGGGCCUUGCGCUAGCAGAUGAGCCUAGGUCGGAUUAGCUAGUUGGUGGGGUAAUGGCUCACCAAGGCGACGACCCGUAACUGGUCUGAGAGAAUGAUCAGUCACACUGGAACUGAGACACGGUCCAGACUCCUACGGGAGGCAGCAGUGGGGAAUAUUGGACAAUGGGCGAAAGCCUGAUCCAGCCAUGCCGCGUGUGUGAAGAAGGUCUUCGGAUUGUAAAGCACUUUAAGUUGGGAGGAAGGGCAGUAAGCUAAUACCUUGCUGUUUUGACGUUACCGACAGAAUAAGCACCGGCUAACUCUGUGCCAGCCGCCGCGGUAA
rnacentral:rRNA from 1 species